AAUAAACGCUGGCGGCGUGCCUAACACAUGCAAGUCGAGCGAGAAAGCUCCUUCGGGAGUUAGUAAAGCGGCGAACGGGUGAGCAACACGUGAGAAUCUACCCUUUAGUGAAGAAUACCCUCGAGAAAUCGAGGCUAAUACUGCAUACGUCCCUUCGGGGAGAAAGAUGGCCUCUUUGCUAUCGCUAAAGGAUGAGCUUGCGUACUAUUAGCUAGUUGGCGGGGUAAAGGCCCACCAAGGCAAUGAUGGUUAACCGGCCUGAGAGGGUGUACGGUCACACUGGAACUUAGACACGGUCCAGACUCCUACGGGAGGCAGCAGUGAGGAAUCUUGCGCAAUGGGCGAAAGCCUGACGCAGCGACGCCGCGUGGAGGAUGACGGUUUUC
rnacentral:rRNA from 1 species